GAUGAACGCUGGCGGCGUGCCUAAUACAUGCAAGUCGAGCGAACAGAUGAGGAGCUUGCUCCUCUGACGUUAUCGGCGGACGGGUGAGUAACACUUGGAUAACCUACCUCUAAGACUGUUAUAACUUCGGGAAACCGGCGCUACUACCGGAUAAUAUAUUGAACCUCAUGGUUCAAUCGUGAAAUACGGUUUUUCUUUCACUUAUAGAUGGAUCCGCGCCCCAUUAGCUAGUUGGUAAGGUAACGGCUUACCAACGCAACGAUGCGUAGCCGACCUGAGAGGGAGGACGGGCACACGGGAAGUGAGAAAGGGUAGAGACACCGGGGGGAGGAAGCAGCAGGGAAUCUUACGGAAGGGGGGAAAGGGUGACGGAGCAAAGCGGGGGGAGUGAUGAAGGAGUUAGGAUGGGAAAAUGCUGUUAGUAGGAAAGAACAAAUAUGUAAGCAACUGGGAAGGUAUUGACGGUACCUGAACAGAAAGCCACGGCUAACUACGUG
rnacentral:rRNA from 1 species